UUUCCUACAAUGGGGUGCCUUAAUACAAAGGGCUGAGAUCAUACCCUCUGAACCUGACCGGGUAAUGCCGGUAAGGGAAAGUAUAUCUCCUAAUA
rnacentral:ncRNA from 2 species